AAUGAACGCUGGCGGCAGGCCUAACACAUGCAAGUCGAACGCACCUUUCGGGGUGAGUGGCGGACGGGUGAGUAACGCGUGGGAAUAUGCCCUUUGGUACGGAAUAGUCCUGGGAAACUGGGGGUAAUACCGUAUGUGCCCUUCGGGGGAAAGAUUUAUCGCCAAAGGAUUAGCCCGCGUUGGAUUAGGUAGUUGGUGGGGUAAUGGCCUACCAAGCCGACGAUCCAUAGCUGGUUUGAGAGGAUGAUCAGCCACACUGGGACUGAGACACGGCCCAGACUCCUACGGGAGGCAGCAGUGGGGAAUCUUAGACAAUGGGGGAAACCCUGAUCUAGCCAUGCCGCGUGAUCGAUGAAGGCCUUAGGGUUGUAAAGAUCUUUCAGAUGGGAAGAUAAUGACGGUACCAUCAGAAGAAGCCCCGGCUAACUCCGUGCCAGCAGCCGCGGUAAAGUCUGUACU
rnacentral:rRNA from 1 species